ensembl:snoRNA small nucleolar RNA, H/ACA box 53
CACAUGCUCCUUAGAUCCAUCUUUGUGAGUACCUCUGUGCUGAGUUCUGCUGGGUAACCUCAAUUCCUAGCAGUUCCAGUCAGAGAUACUCAGCAACUUUUUUGGUUGUACAGUCAAAGAUGCUUGAGUCAUUGGCAUGUGAGAGCAAUAUAACUGCAUGUUAGCUUUCUGUUCUGGUAGAAGUGGCUGUAAUUCUACAGGCCACUGAUCACUAUCAGGACUCGGCUGGUGUGCAGACAUG